rnacentral:rRNA from 1 species
AUUGAACGCUGGCGGCAGGCCUAACACAUGCAAGUCGAGCGGAGCGGCGGACGGGUGAGUAAUGCCUAGGAAUCUGCCUGGUAGUGGGGGAUACCGUCCGGAAACGGGCGCUAAUACCGCAUACUAUCAGAUGAGCCUAGGUCGGAUUAGCUCGUUGGUGGGGUACAGGCCUACAAAGGCGACGAUCCGUCACUGGGCUGAGAGGAUUAUCAGUCACAAUGAGACUGAGAAGCGGUCCAGAGCACUACGGGAGGCAGCAGUGGGGAAUAUUGGACAAUGGGCGAAAGCCUGAUCCAGCCACGCCGCGUGUGUGAAGAAGGUCUUCGGAUUGUAAAGCACUUUAAGUUGGGAGGCGUUACCAACAGAAUAAGCACCGGCUAACUUCAUGCCAGCAGCCGCGGUAAUAC